rnacentral:rRNA from 1 species
UGCCCCGAAGACCGGGACAACCCCGAGGAAACUCGGGCUAAUACCGGAUGUGGUCACCGUCCAUAAGGACGAUGAGCAAAGGAAGCUUCGGCCUCCGCUUCGGGAGGGCCCGCGGCCCAUUAGCUUGUUGGUGAGGUAACGGCUCACCAAGGCUUCGAUGGGUAGCUGGUCUGAGAGGACGAUCAGCCACACUGGGACUGAGACACGGCCCAG